GUAGAAUAAUGUUUAUAGUCGCGAUUCGCAAGGGUCGCCGAGAUUUUGCGAAGCGAAACGUCGAUGAAAGAAGGUGGGGAGAGAGAGAGAGAAAGAGAAGGAGAGAGAGAGAGAGAGAGAGAGAGAGAGAGAGAGAGAGAGAGAGAGAGAG